UGAAUAUUAGGAGGUGGCUUUGACUUGCUGGGAUUAUUUUUAGGAUCCUUAGUUCCAGACUGGGUUAGCAGUUGUAGUAAAAAUAAGAGGACGAUACCUGAGUAGAAAAAAAGAGGGUCUUGGUGAGAUGCUUUUCAUGGUUAGAAUAUGGUAUCCCAGAUCAGAAAAGAGAGAGGCAUCAAUUGGAAUCCCAUCAAUGUAAGUCAGGAAAAUUGGCCUUGACUUCAGACUGGGGACUGGCUUUCCAGCACUCACAGAGGACAUGGCCACAGGGAUAGCAGAGGCAGGUGUAGACUGGUGAGCCACCAUGAGGAGCAGAGGGAGGUACCCUUUGAAAAUAUCAGAAUUGGCCAGGUGCAGUGGCUCACGCUUAUAAUCCCAGCACUUUGGGAGGUCAAGGCGGGAGGAUCGCUUGAGGCCAGAAGUUUGAGAUCAGUCCGGCCAACAUGGCAAAACCCCAUCUCUACUAAAAAUAUAAAAAUUAGCUGGGCUUGGUGACCCAUGCCUGUAAUCCCAGCUACUCAAGAGGCUGAGGCAUGAGAAUAGCUGGAACCCAGGAGGUGGAGUUUGCAGUGAGCUGACCACACUCCAGCCUGGGUGACAGAGCAAGACUCUGUCUCAAAAGAAAAAAAAAUGCAAAAGAAAAUAUCAGAGUGACCUGGGAACUUGCUUUAGCUUGGCUUGGUCAGCUUUCCAUGUUACCUCAGAAAAAGUAGGGGUAUUGUAAGAAUACACAUGCAUUUCUUCUGGAAACUGCUCAGGAACUGAAGCAACACCAGCUUAGACCUACACUGCCACACUUGGCUAUUUGCUGCAUUUUCUUCUCUCUACUCACCAGCCUCUUCUGCUUAUAUAUUUGCUCCUGUUAACACUGCUAAGAGGCAGAUCUCUUAGCAUUUUCUAGUUCCAGUGGGUUGCAGAAUCUUACUGAACCAUUGUAAUACGUCACUGCCUAACGAAUUGAACGGUUGCCCUUGGGGUUCACCAUGACUGUAGCUGGGAUCACAAGGAACAAACCCAACCACAACAGAUCAGGGGAUAGGGAUAGGGAAGUUCCCUUCACAAGGGGUGUGAGGGGCAGGAGCUGAUAUUUCAAGGAAGAAUUCCUCUAGACUUGGGGGCUAAGGCUGAUGUACUUCAUGAUACCCUUCUUAUUCAUUUAUGUUACACUGGAGUUGAAGGGAGUGGUAAGGGCAGUGGCUUUCUUUAAUCUAGAAAGACACACUCACAGAGAAUUACUAUAGAACAUAGCUUGUGUUGUUGGCUGGGCACUCAUAGGUCCCACACAGAGAUGGCAUGUUGCUUUCUUGGCAUUUAAAGUGCCCUGGCAUUUAAGGUGCUGCAUAUAUCUUUUGGAGAGACAGCAUGUGUUGGCUAAGAGCAUGAGUUUAGGCUGCUUGAGUUUCAAUUUCAGCAUGGCCACUUGUUUUGUGAUUCUGGUUUUUUCUUUUUUUUGAAACAGGAUCUCCCUCAGUUACCCAGGCUGGAAUACAGUGGCAACAUAAUCAUUCACUGUAGCCUCAGAGCCUUGACCUCCCUGGCUCAAACGAUCCUCCCACCUCAGCCUCCCAAGUAGCAGGGACUAUAGGCAUGUGCCACCAUGCCCAGCUAAUUUUUUUUUAAUUGUCAGUAAAGACGGUUAGUAGAGAUGCUGUCUCAUUACGUUGUGCAGGCGAGUCUCUAACUCAGCUCAAGCGAUCUUUCUGCCUCAGCUUCCUAAAGUCCUGGGAUUACAAGCACAAGCCACUACGCCUGGCCUGCUUUGUGAUUUUUGAAUCAACAGCUUCACCCUCUGAACUUCCAUUUUCUUAGUUAUAAAUUGGAGACAAUUACUUUUUGUUGUUUAAAACAGAAUUCCGAUCAUGUUGCUCUACUACCUAAAAUCCUGCAUGGCUUCUCAUUGCUCAGAAUAAAAUCCCAUUGAAACCUACACUUUGAAUGAUUACCUGAAUUGCCCUCUUACCCUUUAUUUUCAUUUAUUCAUUUAUUGAUUUAACAAUUAUUUAUGUGUAUGUUCUAGACCAGGCACUGUUGAUAGAUCAUUGAACCAAGCUAAGUUACUGCCACCUUACUUGACAGAAAAGUAUGCAAUAAAUACGUAGACAAAUUAAAAUAUACUACAAUGUUAGGUGCCAUGGUUCACUCAUGAAAAUAUCAAGCAGAUUGAGGUAGAGAGAGCUACUUUAGGCGGAGUGGCCAGGGAGGCGUCCCUAUAGAACGCCUCAAAUGUCAAAAUGACAUUUGAGGGGCAUCUGCAGGAGGUAAGGAGGUGAGUGAGCCGUGUCACUAUGAGAAACAGUGUUCCUGGCAAGAGAGCAGAAGAUCAAAGGCCCAGCAGCAGAGGUAUGGCUGGCAUGUUGCCGUACUUACCCGACCAAACAUCUGAUGGUACAACCUGUCAUUGUCGUCCCUACACCUGAUCGCCUGAUCAGCCCAAUGCUAUUAGAGGAACACAUGCCACCAGGCCGACUGUGACACUGUAGCCUAUUGUUUCAUCUCCCAAUUGGGUUCUCAGAACACCUUCUAUUGUUCUUAGCUCCCUCUCUCACUUGCUUGGCGGUUGUUCCAAACAUUCACACCUCACUUAAGCCAAAAAUAAGAACAACAAAAGCCACAAUGUUUUCUCAUAUUUUCUAUGGUUCAGGCAAUAUGCUAAGUUGUUUUUCCCAUACAUUUAUCAUAUUUAAUCUUUACCUCAAACGUAUAGGUUAAGUACUGUAAUUUUAUAGAUGAGAAAACUGAAACUUAGAGAGGUGAAGCAACUUGACUGUAGAUCCCACCAGUGACUGCUGGAGCUGAGGGUCACACCAGAGCAGGGGCUGUGCCGACCUAAUCCGCAUCCCAACCCCAUCCCCAUCAGCAAACUGUCUCAUGUCAUCCCCUACCCUCCUUGCUCAGAAAACCUGUCAGCAUGAAAGCCUUUAGAUUGCUUACAUAGUUACCAAAUUGAAUCAACUCUGAGACUAUUCAUUUUAAGAAGCACCAUUAUUUCAUGUAACACCAAGAGGUAAAUGCUGCAGUUACACUAUAAAACAAUGCUAAGACCAUUUCUAUAAAACAGAUGCUUCAAAGUGAAAAUAAACUCUGUUCAACAAUUGAUGGACUUUAAAUACAGUACAUCCAUAGCCAUCAAGGCCUUUUUCUUCCUGUGUCAAAAGGUAGGAUGUCCCUCCUCAAGACUAAAAUCCUCUUCCUAUGUUCUUUAUUCUUUCUUUUCCUUGACCUGCUUUUCCUUGAUUUUUUUCUUUCUCUCCAUUUGUUUUCAACUCUACUUUCCUAAGAAUGAAAACAUCUUCAGGUCUCUUAUCCUGAAAAUCAUGUGCUUGACUCAUCCUACAUCUCCUCUAGCAAUUAUUCUAUUUUAAGUUUUCCCUUGUUAUUCCUUCUUUCUUUCUGUCUGGUAUUUAUCUUGAGACCUAUAAAGGAUUUUACAAAGACAGCCUUGGUCCUAAUUAUAUUAGAUAUUUUGGUCCCAAUUAUAAAGCCUAACAUUUGUUUACAGCAUCUUUGUUGAGGGCAUAUGUUGUAUUUGUUUCUUCCCAGCAAACCUUUCAUUGGAGAACAGUCUUCCCCCACACCAUCCCAUAGAAAUACUGUUCACUAUAUCUGGUUCAGGAGGACUGACUCUCCCAACUCCUUUCUCCAGGAGUGGAUACAUGAUCCAGGACUGGCCAGAAUUCUACAUCAAGCAGCCCGUAGGCACGGAGGAGAAUACAAAUUAGAGGAUCAGCCAGCAAACUUGAUGGGUGAUGAGAACUGUUCAAGACAACCCUGAAGAUGUUGCUUAUUUGAUAAGGUUGCUGGUGCUGCUGCUACUGAAGAUAGAACAACAGUUAAGCUUUCUGUGUAUGUGUGUGUUUUCCAUCUGUUUUUCUUUGUAAUCAGUCGGUAUAAAAGUGAGCAGUGAAGAAUCGGGGGGAAAUAAAUGUACUUUUUAAACAUGUUAAAUUUGGAAAAUAUCUAGAGCUCAGAAGAAAAGUGUAAACUUAAGUUAGAGAUUUGAGAGUUAGUGAAGCUCUAAGAGGGGCAGAGUGUAAAGGUGAGGGCAACAAGUAUAUGUGCACACACAAUCACACACAUACACCGGUGGCAGGCAAAGAAAGAUUAAAUCCCUUCUUAGCAAAACUUCAAUUCUGAGAAGAUUUUUCCUAUCUGAAUUUGUUGAACAAUAUUAGAGAUUUUUUUUUUCUAACCACUUCAUAAAUAAUAAAACUGAGCAACAGAGAGGAUGGGUGGCUGACUUGUUAAGGAACUCCUAAUUAGUGCUAAAGAGUCUUAAAACCUAGGUUUCUGGGCUCCCAAUUCCAGGUUCCUUGGAAGUCAAGAGAAGACAAAAACAUACGAUCAUUUACUUUAUCCCUAACUUCACUUGAAUAAAACAUUCCAUAAGAUUAAGGUUAAUGCUUCCUUUGUCUGACACAUCUAUUUAAGCCAUAUGUCUGGUUAGUUUCAGCACGUUACUAGGCCAGUUCAGCAAUGCUCGAAAGCAAUUCAAUUUUCAAAGAACAGUUCUCGAGAUACAUACAAUAAAGCUCAGAUUAACCAGGAAUCAUCGAACCAGAGUUGUUUUACUUUCUACUUAUAAAGAACAUAAGAAAGCACUCUUGAUCUAAGGCAUGACACUGAGCUGGCUCACACCUGCUCUGAUCUUUAUUACUUUCUGUAUGUAAAAUUCUCACAGUACAGUAACUGUGAGGAAAAUAAUAAUUUUGUGCACAAUACUUUAGGUAGGAAGGAAACUAUAUUAAUAAUAAUUCAAUUUAAGUAGAAAUAUAAGUAAACUUAAUUACAGGCUUUUGAAAAUCCAAGCCUAUUUAUUUUAUCCAGUUUUAAAAUUCAAUUCCUAUUUAUUAACUAUUUAAACCUACUCUGUGGAGCAUACUUAUACCCCUCGAAAUUAUCAGAAUUAAGAAAAAUUCAGUAAUUCCUGUGUCAAAAAUAUUCUGUAAAAGUAAACUGUUCAACAGAGAAAAAAAAAAACAAAAAUACUGCAUGAAGCACAUAUGGUAAACAAAAAAACUGAAGUGAUUAUCAUAAUCAUGAAUUUUAAGAAACUGAAAAUGAUUAUCAAGGUAAACAAUAUAUGAAAUAUAACAAAUCCAAACAAGAUCAUGUACCUACAAAACCAAUUUUUCUAAAUACCAUCCUAACUUUUAAUAGCAGAAAAUAACAUUGUUUACUGCCUAAAACAUUGUACAGAAGAGAGAGCUCUAAAAUACUAAUCACAAGCCAAUAAAUCUUACCUUCUACAACAAAUUGCCCACUUCUGAAAUUUGUUUUCAUUACUACUUUUCUAUGUGCACUAACUUAAAGAAUUGCAAUGGUACAGUAAAAGAUACUUUGCAACUAGAAACAAAAUUCUAGAUUGUUUUCCAAAGUUGGGUACUUGCAUAUUAAAUUUUCUCAAAAGGAGACCCACCUGUGUAAUGUUCUUAUCUAUCUGGAACAGGGGUUGGUAAACUUUUUCUGUGAAGUGCCAGACAGUAAAAUAUUUUAGGUUUUGUGAAUUAUACAGUCUGUCAUAAUUAUACAACUCUGCCCUUACAGUGAAAAAUCUGCCACAGGUAUUACUUAAAUGAAUGGGCAACGCUGCAUUCCAGUAACAACUUAUUUCCAAAAAUAGACAACAGGCUAGAUUUGGCCCAUAAGCUGUAGUUUGCUGAUCCUUCACCUAGAAAACCAAAUUUUCUCUCAAUUUCUCAUUUCCAGGAAUGUGUAUUUAUUUAUUCAGGAAAAAAAAAUCUACUAAUGGUAAAAACUGGUGUUAGAAUGAUAUACUUUAUAAAUAGAAAAAAACUACAGAAUGUUUUCUCUAGAGACCUGUAAGAGUGAAGAUCUGACUAAUAAAUGAAGGGAAAAAGGUCUCUUCAGAGAUGUUUGAGUCUAGCAUUUGACAAAGUCUAAAUGGAUUAUUUCUUCUAUUUUAGCUAAGCAAGGUCACCCAAUAAGGGUUAAAUAAUUUUGACACCCAUAGGUAGUUCUAAAACUAUUCCAUAUUAGGGCAGAAACACAGUGAUAAAAUGAAAUCUUUCAUUAAAUAUAUUAACAUAGUUCUAUAUUUUGGCUGAUGUUCUGUACCACCUAAGACAAUGCUCCACCAACAAGGUUGAAAGACAUUUAUGGUAACAGCAACAUAAUUACUGCAACUCUUGGUGUAUAAUGACAACUGUAUUAACGAGAUAUGAUUUACUCCCUGGAUAACUCCAAGAACAUAGGACACAGAAUAAAGAAGUAAACAUCUCAAACCUUGAUAAAGCAACAACUACAAACUUUCCUUUGCCACUCUCUUAAGUGCACCUUUACUUCCCUGAAGUAUCUGCUCCCCUAGCCACAUGGGCCCAGAAACUCAGAGGUUUCAUAUGUAACUGUGCAUCAGAAAAAAGAGCCUGGGAUGGAAAAAAAGAUGCCUGGGUGCAGAGGUGUGUGCAUAUAUGUGUCUGCCUGCCUGUCUUAAAAGUUUAUGAUUGCUUUGAUAUUUAAUAUAAAGCUUGGAACACAAUCAGACUGAGAAAUAUAAUAAGUAUAGUACACCUAAAGCCAUCUGAUAUCCCUCUAAAUGAAAAAAACAAUUAUUUAAAUAUUGGUAAAUAAAAACGAAUAGGAUACACAUUACCCAUGAGAUAAACUUGUCGAAAAAGUUUAAUAUGAAGCUAAUCAGUAGCAAUCAAUCAGACAAAUCUGGAAUGUAGAACCCUUCAUAAGACAAUUCACCUGGAUUUUUCAUAAGUCAAUGUCAUAAAAAAUAAAGGCAGGGAAUGAAUACAGGUUGGAGACUAGACUCAUAACACACAUACUGUCAAUAAUUAUUUCUUGGAUUAAAAAAGCUAUAAAGGAAAUUUUGGGGGCAACCAGAGAAAUCUGAAUACUAACUGUCUGUUAGAUAAUAUGGUAUCAAUGUUAAAUUUCUUGGAUAAUAAAGUAUGAUUAUAUACGGGAAUUCUUAGGUACAUGCUGAAGUAUUUAGGGAUAAAACACUGGUAUCUGCCAUUUUCAAACGGCUCAGAAAAAAGUUUUAUUAAUAUACAGAUAAAGUAGUGUCAUAAAAUAUUAAGUGGUAAAUCCAGGUGAAAGAUUUUCAUGUAUUAAUUUUUCAACUUGUCUGUAGGUUUGAAUUUUUCAAAUUUAAAAUUUUGAGGGAAGGGGGUUUAUCAGGAUAAAGUCUUAGUUUGGCUCCUUCUUGUGGGGUAUAAACAGAUACUUACUUUCCAUUUCAGCUUCCCUUAGUUUAUUACUCUUUCAGUACCAGACUAUUAUCAAUCCCUUAGUUUAUUCCUCUUUUAGUACCAGAUUAUAAUCACUGAGGCCUCAUUUGGUGAAUUCUAUCAAGGGUCAUCUUGGGAGUCACCUCCUUCAGGCAAUUUUUCUUGACUUUCCAGGGUAGGCUAAGGACCCUGUUAAGACAGUUUGUGUUUUACUACCAUGUAGAAAUUUCCAACUACUUUUUUUUGUCCUUUACUAGGCUGCAGGUUCUGGAGGUUCCAGCAUAGUUCUGACACAUGGUAGGCCUUCCAUAAAGGCUUGUGGAACAUUUACCAUCUAGGGCUAGGUGGUAAGGAGCACCAGAGAGAGAGGCAUAGUUUGAAAUCCACAGAUACAGGGAGGAAGAGGCAUUUUUAUUGUAUCAGGCCUAAGGCUAGGCAAUUUAUGGUUACCAUUUUAUUCAGGUAGGUAAUUUUUAAAAAGAAGAGUUCUAGCUGUCCCUCUAUGUAAAUUUAAUAUCUUAAUGUUAGCGAGUCACUUGGAACACUUUGCUUUACAUCAUGCGGCCUCUGCUUAUUAGUCGUAGAGAAGUUAUUUAAACUCUAAGGCAGUUUUCACACCUGUAAAACAGGGACAGUUCUUACUGUGCCUGUUUCACCACAUUUUAAAAAAUAUCAAAUGAAAAUAUACUUAAGUAAAUACGGAAAAAACAGGCAUUAAGUGGAAAGUCUGCACUGUUUUCUCCCUUAAUUCAUCCUCUCUGCAGCUUCUCAAGGUUCCUCUAGUCCUUCGCUGGCUGGAGACCAAAUGGAAAAGAUAGGUCUCUGUCUACUUCAAGGCUAACCUUAGGUAGCUCUGUAAAUUUUGGGGUUUACAUCUUUAAUGCCUCCAAUAUAUUGAGAAUGCGCCAUGAAUUCUCAGUAAGAUUUAUAGCUUAUAAGGCUUUUAGAAAGUUUGCUAUUUACUAAAAACCUGAAAGAAAAUGUUAUUUUAGUCAAUUAUUGAAAAUUACAACAUUUAUUGGUUCAACGAUUAAUCAAUAGUAUACUUUUCCUACUUCUACUGAAACUUAACAGAACAUUUCUUAUCUAUGAUGCAAUUUUUAACUAAAUUGUCUAUACAAAUGGAAAAAAAAAACACCCCAAACCAUAAAUACCACAGAAACUUUUUAAAUUUACACAGUGAUUUCCCCUGAAACCACUGCACAACCAAGCAAAAAAAAAAAAAAAAAAAAAAAAUCAAAGCAAGGCAAAGUUCAGGUUAAGAAGGCAAGCAACUGGCUAUACAUACUGAAAACUUGUCUUCAGGCUACUAACUUACUUUCCAAAUUGGACAAAAGUCAAAAUGCUAAAUUUAUUCUUAGCUUUGAAAAUGCAAUUUCCUGGUUCUGUUAGAUGAGUUUCAAAUCACAUGCUUUUAGGAAACAUGCAAUAUAAACAUGUUUAAAGGCAUAUACUCAAAAAUUUAUAGUAGUUUCACAAGUUCUAAGCUACAAUUUUAUUCCCCAUAUUAACUAUCAGAGUUAGCACAGAGACAAGCUCACAGAUUGCAUCUAAUCUUUGGUUGCAAUUGUUCCACCUGUUAUCUAGCCCUCUAAGAAAUAAAACAACAACGACAACACUUUGAGGUCUCAAUCCACUUUACGAAAAGAAAGCUUUAUGAAAAAGCCUGAACAAUGAAUUCAAACAUUAAGGAGAAAAUGAGAAACGUUAGGUGUGUGAAGUAGGAAAUGUUAAUUUCAUGCACUUAGGAACACACACUCACACCCCACAGUAGUAGAAGCAGUAGAAGAGGAAAACACUACAUGUGUAGGGGUAGAAAUAUUUGUUACAUCAUGAUGCUGGCUGGCGAUGGAGGGUUGCCGCCUUAGAGCCCCCUGAAUGGAACUUCCACUCUGGAAAGCAUUCACUACAUCCAUCUGCAAGGAAUCAGAGAUUGUGACAGCUUGCUCAGCAAGAGAGAGAGAGAACAAGAGAAAGGACCAUUCCAUCUAUCAACAUAUAAAAAGAAAAAGGCACUUUUUACACAGCAUAUAGGCAAGAAUAGCAUUUUGAGAUGAAGUGGGGGAUGGGGGAGCUAGGAAAAAAGGAGCUUAGGGGCAUAUAGACACAUUCUUUCAUAAUCAGUUAAAAGUCUCACUCAUUCCAGGCACCAGUAUUACUUUUCAAGAGAAUACAAUUUGUGGGUUGGGAAGGCUAGAGAGGAAGUUUAAGGAGCACACUCGAACCUCCUCCCCAGGUCAAAAAGCCCUGGCUCCCAUCAUCUCUCCUACCUCUCUACCAGGCCCAUACCUGUGUUUGGAUUCUGUUCAGACCUCUAAACCACAAGAUUUGGCCACGCCGCAACUCCCUUUCAGCGUGAUCAAUCUCUUCAACAUCCUCUGCUAAUUCCUCCUCAGGUAUUUCUUCCUUUUGUGUUCCAUGACCAGCUUCUUUGAGGAAUUUUAAACGGCUAGUUGGAAUUGUUGAAAUAAGCUACAACACAGGGGAAUGAACUUAGAAAUAAAUCAUAUCAAGUAAAGGUAAGCUGAUCAACUGUAAUACUAAAGGUAUUAAAAGUGGUGAGAGUAUCCGACUAUCUUUACCAAUGAAGUAAUGGGAUCCUGUUGAUUAGUCUUUCUCUCCCAGAGCAAAAUACAUUCUUCUCUUAGCUACACAAAAGAUUUGAGUUUGAAGGAUAAAAAGUUUUCCUAAAUGGAAAUUAACCUGAUUACAUUUUUCAUAUUUUCAUCAGGACAUUCAAGACAGUACAUUGUAAAACCAUGCUCUGAUAUAUGUAUUUACUUAAAAAGUCCUAUUUAUUUUGAAUACAAUGAAAAUGGCAGGUGGUCUUACUAGAUGCAAAACACGUUUACAUUUCAUUAAUGCUGUCAGAGUUCAAUGAGAAAAAAUGUAUAAAAUUUUUAAAAAAAUCAUUAAGGUUACACUGAAAAUAGUUUUGUUACAUAUUUUUUUUAAAAUGCAACAGUUUAAAAUUGGAUUAGUACUGAUUGAUGACGCCAAACAAAAACAGAUGCCCUAGAAAACACAAAGGAUACAAGAAACACCAAUACACGUAUAUUAGCUUAUGUGUUAACAUCCAUUCUCUAAGGCAGCAGUUGGGUUUAUCAGGGAGAAACAAGCAUGUAGUCAGCUACAGAAUUCUGCUUGGAGAACUUCUAGUACACCCACCUCAUUUCACCAAGGUGAAAUAGGCUUCAAGGCACAUAAAGUGACUUGCUCAUGGAGUGACUAGGAACCUAGGUCUCCUGACCACCAAAGGCAGUGCUUGUUCUACCAUGGUACACUUAGUAUGGGUCUUACUUAAAAGAUGAUCUCUAUUAAUGAGGUACUCAAAAUAGAUAAGAAACCUCAGAAUCUAGAAACAUAGUUAAGAAAAAGAAGAGACACAAAGAUGUAAAGAUUGGGCUACAUUUAAGGAAAACCUGAAAGUCUGGUUUCACUGAUUUGCAGAAUGACAAUAAAUUAGCUCAUGCAAAUUAUAUGCCAUAAUAUAUAUUAACCUUCAUCUAUGAAAAUGUUAGAUUUUCUAUAAAUUAGUUUUAUAGUAAUGGGCUUAAAAUGAACAAUGCAUAAAUCACUGUCACAUUUAAAAAAUAAUGACAUGCAUUUGCAAGUAAGCUGCCUAUAGUAAAUAUGAGGUAUAUCUCUUAUUUCAGGCACUUUAUUUCAUAUAUACACUGUUAAAGCUAUUCAAUUCAAAUCUAAAACAUCAUUUUGUGACCCCUUUUUCCAGGUAACAUUAUUUUUAUAAAAACAUUCUCUAAGGUCAGUUUUUCCUAUGCUGCAUAUUGGAUUAAAUUACAGAACAAAAUGACAAUGUAUUUUUUUUUUUUUUUUUGAGAUGAAGUCUCGCUCUUCUCUCCCUGGCUAGAGUGCAAUGGCGCGAUCUUGGCUCACUGCAACCUCUGCCUCCUGGGUUCAAGCGAUUCUCCUGCCUCAGCCUCCCAAGUAGCUGGGAUUACAGGCGCCUGCCACCAUGCCCAGCUAAUUUUUAUACUUUUAGUAGAGACGGGGUUUCACCAUGUUGGCCAGGCUGGUCUCUAACUCCUUACCUCAGGUGAUCCACCCGCCUCGGCCUCCCAAAGUGCUGGGAUUACAGGCGUGAGCCACCGCACCCGGCCAUGUAUUUUUUACAUUGUUGUAAAAAAUUUUUUUCUGAAAAUGUAAAAAUAGGUUAUAGAGUAAAAGAUACAGAUAUUAGCAUCCUAACCAGUUAUAAAUACAUCAUUUUUAAAAACCGCUACAAAACUUCUAAAAAACAAGUUAAAAAAACACAUAAAAAGUUAGGAUAGUAUUUUAUAGUACAGGCAUAAUCAUAAUGAACAAGUGACAUACUGGAACUAAUACGACAUUAAAAAAACUUAUCUUUGAAUGCCCUCUCUUUACUCACCACAUUAACCAUUUAGAAUCAAGUAAUGAAACUGUUAAAGAAAAUACACACUAGAAAUUAAAAAAAAAAAUCACUUUAGGUUUAAACAAAAACUGAUGAAAUUUUUACCUGGCCCCAGAGUAAUGUUCCCAUUCCUAGGAAUAUUGACCAUAGCCACUGUUCUAUUGAAAGUUCUGAACAACUGAAAGGUUUUCCACCAAACUGCACAAUUAUUAUCUGGAGGAAUAAUCAAGAGUAAAUUUACUUAAAUCUUAAAUUUUAAAAUUCAUAUACUUAAAAAAAUAUCAAAUUUAUGUCCUCUAAAACAAGGUGAACAACCACUAUUCUGAUGAAUUGUAUUAUAUUAGUCACAACUGAAAAUAAGACAACUGAAAUAGACCUUUCCUCUUUCCCCUCCAGUCCACUUUGCCUCUUAGAAAAAAAGACAACUGAAAUAAAGUAAAAUCUCUGCCCAAUAUUUUUGAUGCAUGCGUAUUUCAUGUUUAAAUUACGCUUACUAAAAAGUAAAAUUCUUAUGACCAAGAAUAAUAAUUUUAUACUGUUUCCAAUAUAACCCCAAGCAACUACAUUCCCCUGUAUUUAGUACAACUCUUCAAAUAAUCUGUGCCUUUCUCAAAAUAUAGUACUCUUUUGUAGAAAAGACUGUAUGUUACUGGAAAAAUGCACAAUAUUAAAAAAAUUCCACAUAGCUGUUUAUUUCUAGUUAACAUUUAGACAUACUAAGAUAAACACAGACUAUAUGAGAAGAAAGGCAACUUGGAAAGUUCUAUGAAAUAUGGGCUAACUCAGGUGAGGUGAUCUCAGAUUUGCUCUCCUUUAUGAAAAGAGUGAGGUCUGAUGAUGAAUAUAAAUUCAUAAUACAGUGCUUAUGUUUUGCUUGUUAUUCUAAAAGGCCUAAAAUAGUGUGCAUGGAAAUAUUAAGAAUUAACUGGGGUUGGGUGUGGUGACUCAUACCUGUAAUUCUAGCACUUUUGGAGGCUGAGGUGAGAGGACUGCUUGAGCCCAGGAGUUCAAGACCAGCCUAGGCAACAUAGCAAGACCCUGUCUUAAUUAAAAAAUAAAUAAUUUUUUAAAAAAAGAAUCAAUUAACAAUAUUCACCCUCCUGUGAGUCUGACAGGCCUCUCUUUGAUAUGGCAGUUAACUAGUUCCCAAAUAUUAAAAUCAAAAAUAAUUUUGGUAGUUAACAUUUUAAAACCUUAAAGUUACAAUUCCUUUCUUUUUAGCUCUACUUUAUUCAAAUUCAAGUCAUUUUCACUUCUCGGUUCCACUAUUUUUUAAGUUAAUUUGUGCACUUGUACAGAUAGAUUUCCAACUGCUUUGUUAGUAGCCCAAUUAGAUUACAACUGAUUUGACAAUCAGGUCUGGAUUUUAGUAGAGAUAUAAAACUGAAGUAAUUUUCUUUUAUAAAUCAAGAAAAUAAUGAGCAUGAAGAAUUCAAUAUGUAUUUGUACAAGUGAUCUUAAUUUUUUUUAAAAUUUAAACCUGAUCUUUUUUUUGGUAUAAUGUGGGAUGUAAAAAGAAUACUAAAAUGCUGGGAAACAAUUAAUUGAUUGGCUGACUUUGUUUCCUAAGAAAUAAUAUCUUUCACUUUACAGUUGGAAGAAAUAAAACUGUUUGUCUAGUUGGUUGUGGCAUUUACUUCUAAGAACAGGAGAUUCAGUUCCCAUAUUCUUUAACAUAUACCUUAAAUCACCAUGAUAUUAUAUAUGUCACCAAGGCAACAGUUCCACACAUGUUCCACACAAGUGAUUGCUAGAACAAGCUGUUUACCUAAUGUCUCCCAUUUAACAGGCAAAUUUGAAACUAUCUUUUCCAAUUACCCACCUGUACCACAAAAGUGCCUAAAACAAUUGUGCAGAAGAUGGCAUUGUUAAAGAUUCCUUCGAAUACAUUUCUUUCACCAUGAAUUUUCCGGG
rnacentral:lncRNA from 10 species